GCCUACGGGCAUUUGGUCAAUUUGAAACGAUACAGAGAAGAUGUAAGUUUAGCCCCAUUCCAGAGGUUGUAGGUUCGAGCCAGAAUAUUAACAUCUUCACAGUAGCAUGGCCCCUGCACUAAGGAUGACACGCUCAAUCAAAGAGAAGCUACCAAUUUUU
rnacentral:snRNA from 1 species